UACGAAGGGGGCUAGCGUUGCUCGGAAUCACUGGGCGUAAAGGGUGCGUAGGCGGGUUUUUAAGUCAGGGGUGAAAUCCUGGAGCUCGACUCCAGAACUGCCUUUGAUACUGAAGAUCUUGAGUCCGGGAGAGGUGAGUGGAACUCCGAGUGUAGAGGUGAAAUUCGUAGAUAUUCGGAAGAAACACCAGUGGCGAAGGCGGCUACCUGGACCAAUUGCUGACGC
rnacentral:rRNA from 1 species